UACGUAGGGGGCAAGCGUUGUCCGGAUUUAUUGGGCGUAAAGAGCUCGUAGGCGGUUCAGCAAGUCGGAUGUGAAAAAUCUGGGCUCAACCCAGUGAAGCACCCGAUACUGCUGUGACUAGAGUCCGGUAGGGGAGUGUGGAAUUCCUGGUGUAGCGGUGAAAUGCGCAGAUAUCAGGAGGAACACCAACGGCGAAGGCAGCACUCUGGGCCGGUACUGACGCUGAGGAGCGAAAGCGUGGGGAGCAAACAGG
rnacentral:rRNA from 1 species